rnacentral:misc_RNA from 1 species
AAGUCGUAACAAGGUAACCGUAGGUGAACCUGCGGUUGGAUCAUUAUUGAAUUUGGGCGCGAGCCUAAUAGUAACUUGAGUUUACUCGAGUUCGAACCUAUUGUGAACUUGUAUCAGUCAACGUUUGAGCUUUGGCUCUUGUGUUGGCCUUGAACCUAGUUAUUCUAGUCUUAAUUCAAUAUUUAAUUGAAACAACUUUUGACAACGGAUCUCUUGGCUCUC